rnacentral:lncRNA from 1 species
ACUCAAUCGCCAUUGCCUCCUCCACGCAGGCCCACUCACCACGUUUCCUCUCUCUACCUGACUCAUUCCUACCUGCUGUUGCUUAGGAUGAGUAGGUAUGGAUUAGUGACGCGCUCGAACCUGUUCAGCCCGCAUAGAGAGAUUCCAGCAAUCAAUGCGGCAGCAUGCGGGAUGCUCGUAUACUGUAAAAUGUAGGUUAUUGCGAAAUUGCAGCAACCCUGGCAUCCAUGAGGUAAGCCUGGCCGGAAGUUGAGGCGGUUGAAGAAAGAGACGUGAAAAUUCAUAUAUUUCGUACAUUGUCUCCGUUUAGCUUGCCUUUUUAGUUCAUCUAAAUUUCGUUUAAAAGCAAAAGGCGAAAGGCAGCAGGAUAAAAGGCAAACGCAACUGAAAAGAUCACAAAAGAAGCAAAACAUGUAUUACAUUGUUCCUUUUAUCCCGUUGCCGUUUCAGUUUUCUCUGUGUCCGUCGUUUUGCUGGGGGGCGAGCCAGUACAACAUUGUCUUUGGUGAAGGGCGUACUCUACACAUUUGCUCAUUUGUACUGCAAUGUGCUUAAUGUGCACAACGACCUCCCUCGUCGAAAAUACAUAGCCGCAACUUUGCUCUACGUCCCAUAUGAUUCUUUCAAACGAUGGNNNNNNNNNNNNNNNNNNNNNNNNNNNNNNNNNNNNNNNNNNNNNNNNNNNNNNNNNNNNNNNNNNNNNNNNNNNNNNNNNNNNNNNNNNNNNNNNNNNNNNNNNNNNNNNNNNNNNNNNNNNNNNNNNNNNNNNNNNNNNNNNNNNNNNNNNNNNNNNNNNNNNNNNNNNNNNNNNNNNNNNNNNNNNNNNNNUGGGCUUCCUUAUGCUUCACAUUCAUAUUUCUUGAAUGAUUGCAUCUAUACAACAAUUUUAAUUGUCAUCACUCUCUCAUACGGGAGCCUCUCAAGCGGGAGCCUUGUCUAUGUGUGUGUUUGUUUUGCUGUACAGUAAUUUUUGGAUAACAUAGAUAGAGGUUACAAGAUACAGAUGUAGCAAGUCCUUUAUAACUGUUUGGACCGAGGAAGGUUGGUGAGCACAUUAGAUAUUCAUAUGUUGACUUUGUUUUUAAGUCCUAGAAUUUGCAGCGUACAAUCAGCCUCAAUUACCGUUUCUUCAAAGAGGUUUGACCACAUAUGUAUGCUCUGCUCCACCUUGCCCUCUACAAUGAAAAAUAUGGUGCUAAGCAGAUGGGUUAACACCUAUAGUAAAGACGACCUAGGCUAGAGCCAUGGCCACUGUCAUAGCCUCACAUACGAUAUGCAACGUGCGGAAGAAACAAAACCAACAUUUUCGAUGGGCUUCCUUAUGCUUUGGAAUCACUUCAUGUUAUAAGAAACAAAACCGAGACUGAAUUGAAGCUAUCGCAUACUUAUAUCAUUUAGAAAAUAAGACUCGUCUCUUUUAGUUAGAUGCAGAUUCAUUGAUUUGAGGAUUUAUCAUGUUGGGAUUUUUUUUCUAUACGUGAGAGUAUGUUUGUUUUAUUUUGGAGUCAAUUACAAGCCUGCAGGAGACAAAAACGAAAACAAAGGCUACAAAGAAGAAAAGAUGAGUAUGUCACUCUCUCAAUGCAGACAAGGGAAACACGUCAUCUACAAUCUUGAAGGCCACCUAUGACCAUUAGGUUCAUAAGGUGGUUUUUUUUUUGAAGGCAAAUUGUUGGGCUUUCAAACGAUGGGCUUCCAAAACAUUCUUUCAAACGAUGGGCUUCCUUAUGCUUUGGAAUCACUUCAUGCUAUUUCUCGUUGCAACAUUUUCUUAACAUAACCAACAAUUUGCUUUUUUCUGUUUGUCAUCUUCAGACCAACAGUUUUAAUGAACCCACACUCGCACACCUAAAUCAUAUUUGGGGAGACCAAGAUCAAGAGUAACUGAGCACUCAAUUGCUAACAGAAAGUCAUGGGGUUGUUCGUAGUGCUAAGCCCGAUCAGUGUCAUCAUCAAAUGUGAGCCAUCCACCGCAACAACUCAGCAUGACGAGGAGUCGGGGAAGAUUCAUAAGACGAGCUUUGACAAGACGGAUGUCAGCCUCACGGUGAUGCAAGUGUCAGUGAUGUUCUAAGCCCUUAAAUUCUCUGCAUGCUUCACAUUACCACAUUGUCAGUGUCAUUAUAAUCUUUGUGACCUAGUCCAUUCGGAAAAAACGAACACGAUGGUUCUCAACAAUGUCUUCAUAACGCUAGACCGGCUUAUGGACUAAUGUCGAGACUUGGUCCCAUCUUAGUUGGCACAGCACGAGGCCCAAGGCUUAGGCAUGGCCCAUGGCACAAGACACGGUCCGAUGGCUGGUGUGCCAGGGCAAGCCUGGCCCGAGGUCACAUGUCGUGUUGUGCAAUGUAAUUGGGCGGAUGGGCAGACCGGCGCAACAUAACAUGUGCACGGCCGGGGAAAAAUGGCCCACAAGCAUGCAAAGGCCUCAUGGAAUCAAAACUAACAAAGGGAGGCCCUCAAAAAACAAAAUAAAAAUGAAUAGAGUAGCUGAGUUACUUUAUAGAUUCCACUACGGACUACAUACGGAUGCAUAUAGAAAUACUUUAGAAUGUGGAUUCACUUAUUUUUUCCGUAUAUAGACCCCUGUAGAACUCCAAAAAGAUUUAUAUUUAGGAACAUAGAGAGUAUAUGUGUAUGAGCCUUUCCAUCGAAGCUAACCCUCACUCUCGGGCAGCUACAACAUACGCGCUUAGCAUGUACCCUAUGGUCAAAUCCCCAACUAUUAUGGCUAAUAUCCCAGCAGUUUAUUUUGGAACUAGCAAAUGACCCCAUGCCUUGCAACUGGAGAAACAGCCUAUGGUCAAAUCCCCAACUAUUAUGGCUAAUAUCCCAGCAGUUUAUUUUGGAACUAGCAAAUGACCCCAUGCCUUGCAACUGGAGAAACAGAUUCUUGCACGCUCCUAAUGGAGUAAUGGUACAUCCAUGUUGUCACAUCAAAUCUUCGCUACUAUCUUGAAUAGUGGUCCUGAUAGUCACCUAUUCAACUUGAAGCAUGCAUCGUUCGGAGCAAUCAACGAUUAUCUGAAGUAGAUGACAAGGAACAAAUAGUCGAUGUGUUCGACAGAUGUGGAACCGGGGUACAACCAUCUCCCUUUGAUGAUGACAAGUGGUUCAAUUCCGCGCCUUAAUUGAGUACUCGAACUGAAGGCAUGGUGAGUCAAAGUAUUUUUUUUCAUAUAGGUAGUGUUAGGUAUAUAUUUAUACUAAAUGUUAUUGUAUUAAAUUAUAUUUAGAUCAUUUAUAUGGAUCUUUGAUCAUCUAUGUGAAGUAAUUAUAAAUAAGAAAAUGUGUACUAUUUGCUUUAUAAGAUAUGCAAUUUCUCGGUCGAAACACAUGAGCUAUCAACGUACAGAAUGUUCCAUGUCGCGGUGUAAGACAAUAUAGUACUAUACCAAACGCUAUUUCUCGGUCGAAACACAUGAGCUAUCAACGUACAGGAAGCAUGUAAGAGAGAACGGUGAUGGAUAUCAAGUCGGCGGACUUGGAUGGGACAGCUUCUGUUAUGACUACGAUGUGAUAACAGGAGAUUCCAUACAUUUUCGUUACAAUAGUCGGCAUCUCGUCAUGUACCUUUCAGCAAUACAUCCGCGAACCCAAGCGUGCACUCCAUAAGUACUUUUUUUUGUUAAAUGCUUAUUUAUUAUAUAAUGUUAUAUAAAUGACAUUAUGACAAUGUUUACCAUCAUACUUAAACAUAGCUGACUUUUACGACGAAGGAGAAAGACUGGUCGCCUAUAGCAACCACUAUAACCUACUCCCUCCGUUCCUAAAUAUAAGUCUUUUUAAGAGAUUUCACUAGGGGUCUAUAUACGGAGCAAAAUGAGUGAAUCUACACUCUAUAGUAUGUCUAUAUGCCCAUUAGUGGAACCUUUAGAAAGACUUAUAUUUAGGAACGGAGGGAGUAAAUAACAUGCAUGCAAGUCGAAGCAUGCACCAGAUUCUACACAGGUGGAAGCUUACCCGGCAUAGAUCCAUAUAUAGUCUUGCUGGUGCAAACAUACGCGAUCAUCAUAUGAUUAGCAGUUAUAUUUACUUAUCUUAAAUAUAUUUACUGCAGAUGACCGUAAUAAAAAAAAUCAUUGGAUUUAACAAAUUUCAGGUUCUACAGAGGCCAACAGUUGGGAGGCUUGGGUUCCAACACUACGGUACUAUCUGGUUGGAAAUGAGUAGGCGAACAUUCCAACCAGGUCAUAGUGAGUACCAUAUUAGAAGUGAUGGGCGCCUAUAAAUCGACGGGGUUGCAUGGAGAUUUUGAAGUGUGGGUUCUAAUCCUUGUUGCACGUGAUGGUAGACCAUGAGAUUUAGAAUUCUAUCACAAAAUAGAGAGGAAUUAAGUUCUGAUGAAUCGGAUGACGACUCGGACGAUCAAGAGGACAACAAAUAAGAGGAAUAGGAACAUUUAUUUGUUUCACUUAAUAUGCAUAUUUUUAUUCUUCCAUUCUAUAUAAUAAUUUUAUUUUUAAUAAAUAUAGUUUGAACAAUUUGAAGUUGGUACUACUUUAGCUGUUUUGAUGUUUGAUUUCAUGUUUGCAUCGACAUUUGCAAAAAUAACUGUGCAACUAUUAACUACAAGUUCACGCAUCAAAUUAACAGUUGUACUACUACCCUGGCGGUAAUUAUUUUGGAUGAACGUUCAACAGUCUCAACUAAACCAUGGAUUACACUAAGUAAACCAAUGCCUUUUAAUCCA